AGUAAGAAAAAUGUUUGUACCCUCCGUUAAUCCUCUAAAACAACAACAACCAGGAAAAAAGUCCUAACAAAAUAGGAGAUUGCUACUGUUUGCAUGCCAAAAUGUGUGUUGUAAGUGAGUCAAGCCACAGCUUUCUAAAGCCAAGAAACUCAUACAUUUCUUUGUUCAAAUUUUGAGUGAAACUGGUUUUAUUAACUUCUGGUUAGGAAGUGAUACUGUGGGAGGGGGGUUGGGAGACGGGCCUCCUGCCCUCCCAUGGGAAUCAACAGAUGUGUAAUUUCCUACCUUCCCCUAACUGCCACCCUUCGUUUCUAUGACAACCAAGUUGUGUCAAUCAGUUUGUCCCCCAGCCCUAAGUUCUAGUAUGUUCUAAGUUAUAUGUAUUUUUAUUGGUUCUCUCCCCCGAAACCUCUCCCUCUCCCCUUCCUUAUUGGUUCAAACAAUGUCACCCCACUUUUCCUUCUCUCCUUUGCUCGUACCUGGUUGGUCCCUCAGACCCUAGCCACUCCUGUCCCUCGUCCCUUUUGAUACCUUACCCCGCCCCUUGGUCGGCGCUCUCGGAGCCCGCUGCCCUCUCGUGUGGUUGGAUCCCUUCAUCCUUCGCUGUACCUUUCCUUUCUGGAAUCCACGAGAAUUAAAGUACUCCUUGAGUCAUCCCGCUUAGGCGGAAGCGUUAUCUGUCUUUUGCUAUCUGGCAACCAGGAUACCUCUCUUGCCACUGAACCCUUCACGGUGUCUCCGGCGGGACACUGGUCCCAGGAUAGACCUGCCGCAGCUGGCACCUCGAACGGGGACCCUCGCGGUAUCCCUUGUGAGCGACUCCUCACGGACUGCUUGACUCUGUGAGCCGGUGACCGUAGGAUUGAAGUGCCGUUCGGGAUCCCAGCUCCACGGGCAGUCGAACUUCGUUGAAGAAGCGCUUCUAUCCUGUGGGCUGCAGACAACCUGCCCGACGAAGAACCAUAGUGCCGAGGAGCAGUGCUCCUUCUCAGCAGGACCUGCAGCUGCUUCCGCUCCCCGCAGAGGUCCUUUCUUUUGGACAGGUGUCUCUUCCGUUGAGUGGAUCAAGCAACAAAUCCUGCCAGCCAGAGGCACAAGGUUGUCGCCUAGUCCCUGCUGCUCCCCGAUCCUCUCUGUCCCUUUCCCACUCCGGAACUGGCCACCCCGGUGCAGCUCUUCCCGCGUACCACGACCCCGGACACCCCAAUCCCAGUUUGAAGCCCUGCAGUUCGAAUCCCG
rnacentral:lncRNA from 1 species